AGCGAACGCUGGCGGCGUGCUUAACACAUGCAAGUCGAACGGAAAGGCCCUUUCGGGGGUGCUCGAGUGGCGAACGGGUGAGUAACACGUGGGUGAUCUGCCCUGCACUUUGGGAUAAGCCUGGGAAACUGGGUCUAAUACCGAAUACACCCUGCUGGCUGCAUGGUCUGGUGGGGGAAAGCUUUUGCGGUGUGGGAUGGGCCCGCGGCCUAUCAGCUUGUUGGUGGGGUGANGGCCUACCAAGGCGACGACGGGUAGCCGGCCUGAGAGGGUGUCCGGCCACACUGGGACUGAGAUACGGCCCAGACUCCUACGGGAGGCAGCAGUGGGGAAUUGUUCGCAAUGGGCGCAAGCCUGACGACGCAACGCCGCGUGGAGGAUGAAGACC
rnacentral:rRNA from 1 species